ACUCAACUGACUGAGACACCCAGGUGCCCCCAAACACGACUGAUUUUUGUAUCCAGCAAUCUUGCCAAAUUUAUCAGCAGUAACACUUUUUUGGUGGACUCCUUAGGACUUUCUAUAUACAAGAUCAUGUAACCUACAAAUAGUUUAACUUCCUUUUCCAUGUGGGUAUCUUUUUUUUUUCCUAAUUGCUCUGGCCUGAACCUCUAGUCCAAUGUUCAAUACAUGUCAUGAGAGUGGACAUCUUGGUCUUGUUCCUGAUCUUAGAUGGCUUGCCUUCUUGUGCUUUUGUCAUCAUCACUGAGAACUUCUGGACAACUUCUGCAGUCUAGUCCAAGUCCGAAGAACACAGAUGGAGCAGACCCGAGCUCAACUCAUGGCAAGCAGUCAAGCUCAGCCAGAUCUCCAGCUUGAAGCAGUCAUCCAGCCAAGCCUGUCAGCCAACCUGCAAAAGCAUGAGUGAGAACGAUUAUUUUAAGUUGAGCAGAUUUGGAGCAGCAAUAGCAACUGAAACCUAAGUAUAUGUCUUUCCAUGAUGAGAUGAGAACUCCUAGAGGAUACCACCACGCCUUCUAGGUUCACUUUCUGCCCAUCCCCACCCUCAAGUAUAUAUAUGGCAGGCAAGCAAUAAAUGUUUGUUGAGUGAAUAUUUGAAAAACCCCAUUAGGCUCAUCUAAAUUCUAAAACAGCUUUUGUGAGAAGUCAAGUUUUUAAAGAAGGGUAAGAACUAGUCAGAAUACUAAUUAGCCAUUAAAAGAUAAAGAAGUUUGAAAAAAAAAAGUUUGCACGUAAAAA